CCGGCACGGGUGAGUAACACGUAUGCAAUCCACCUGUAACAGGGGGAGUAACCCGGAGAAAUCCGGACUAAUACCCAUAAUAUGGGCGCUCCGCAUGGAGAGCCCAUUAAAGAGAGCAAUUUUGGUUACAGACGAGCAUGCGCUCCAUUAGCCAGUUGGCGGGGUAACGGCCCACCAAAGCGACGAUGGAUAGGGGUUCUGAGAGGAAGGUCCCCCACAUUGGUACUGAGACACGGCCAA
rnacentral:rRNA from 1 species